rnacentral:rRNA from 1 species
UGGGGAAUAUUGGACAAUGGGCGAAAGCCUGAUCCAGCAAUGCCGCGUGUGUGAAGAAGGCCUGCGGGUUGUAAAGCACUUUCAGUAGGGAGGAAAAGCUGAAGGUUAAUAACCUUUAGUCUUGACGUUACCUACAGAAGAAGCACCGGCUAACUCCGUG